AGAUAUGAGAGCUCAAGGUCACUCUUGUCGACUAACUCUAGCAGACUACUGAAGUCCUGGAAGGUUUCUGAUUAUAAAGAGAGAGUUGGCAUCUUUGAAUGCAUCGUUUCUAAUUGGCUAAGGAGGUAUGUAUAACAAGAGCAAUGUGUGUACAGAAUUCGAAUAGUUUCACUUCUGAAGAAUCUACUACAAUGUACUAAGGAGGUGAAAGUUGGCGUUGUGGCAUCAUUUAGGACAUGCAAUAAUUAAAGAGUUGCAGACUUUCUCUUAAGGUAUGUAUAACAAGAGCAAUGUGUAUACAGAAUUCAAAUAGUUUUCACUCCUGAAGAAUCUACUACACUGUGCUAGAGAGGUGAAAGUUGGCGUUGUGGCAUGUCAUAUGACACGCAGUAAUUAAAGUGUUGCAGACUUUCUUUCAGGUAUGUAUAACAAGAGCAAUGUGUGUACAGAAAUGAAAUAGUUUCACUCGUGAAGAAUCAACUAAACUGUACUGUUGUGGUUGCAUGUGCCUUCCACUUGUUGCUGAUCAUUGCAUUAUCACCUUGACCAGGCGUAUACUAAAAACGCCUUAGCUGUGUACUGUUGUACGUUCGGUAUGUUGACACGUGAGGAUAGUUCUGUUUGAAGCAGUUGCUGCUCGCUUGAAAUUGUGGCACUUCGACGCUAACCGUAGUUAGAAAGUUAAAUUAAUUUAUUCUUGCGUUAGGUACUGUGCCUCUAUGAUUCUUUUCAGCAGGAAACUUCCGCUAACAUUGCGGCCAAAGUAGUUGCUUGUUUGUUGAAUCUCGUGGCAUCUUUGUGGUUUUUAGUGAUUGCUAAAUGCAUACUUUUGGCGAGAGAAGACGGAGGGCGUCACUUUCUCACGUUAAAUGCAACCUGAGCAUGCACAGCUCCUCCUCUUUUUUGACUUCUGCGACUUCAUGGCUAGACGAGACGUACGACUAAAAUGGACGCUUUUUUGCAACUUGUACGUGUGUUUCUGAGAAGAGUACGCGACUUGCUAGAGUUUGAGGGAGGACAGCAACAACACGAUCACUGGGAAGAUUGCUGUCUUGAAGGGGAAAGGCUGUACAGACACCUUAUACGUAUAGUAGAAGCAGGGGAAGGAAAUAUGCGCCCUCUAACCGUUUCUCUAGGUGCCUUGAUUGAGAUCAUUGCAGUGGUUUCGCACUUGUCUGAAGAAGAGCAGCCUAGGUAUACAGUGGAGGCGGUACAAUGCGGUGGAAGAGGAAGACCGAGGCUUGGCAUUGGACGAGAUCAAUUGGUCUUUUUACUUGACCACGAUUUUGCAGUUACCGACAUAUGUGAUCUUUUUGGCGUGUCUAGAAGCACGAUUCAAAGAAGACUGCGAGAAUGGGGCAUACAAGUAUGCCAGCGAUUCAGUAGAAUUUCUGAUGCAGAGUUGGACAGGCUAGUCACAGAAGUGAAAUGUGAUUUCCCUGACGCUGGCUAUCGCUUAGUACAGGGACACUUGCGCUCAAGGGGCUACAGUGUUCAGCAACAUAGAGUGAGAUUGUCUGUAGCACGUGUUGAUCCAGAAGGAGUAGCUGAGAGGUGGGCUAGAUCUAUACCGAGAAGAGUGUAUAGGGUUCGUGGACCAAACGCUCUCUGGCACAUCGACGGAAAUCACAAGCUCAUAAGGUAUCGAUUUGUAAUACAUGCAGGCAUUGAUGGAUUUAGCAGACUGCCAGUGUAUUGCAAGUGCUCAACUAACAAUCGAGCAUCCACUGUUUUCAGUGUUUUAUAGAAGCAGUUGCACGUUAUGGUGUGCCCUCAAGAGUGAGAUCAGACAAAGGUGGUGAAAAUGUAGAGGUUUCUCUCUAUAUGCUGCAACGUCGAGGCACUGGAAGAGGAAGUAUGAUAACUGGUUCAAGUGUCCACAAUCAGAGAGUAGAAAGAUUUUGGAGAGACUUGUUUGAAGGCUGUACUUUUCUAUUCUACUUUCUAUUUCGCAAUAUGGAGAUAAUGAAUCUACUAGAUCCUACAAAUGAGACACACCAUCAGUACUGCAGGAAACAGAAGUCCAUUGCAGUUGUGGAUAGAAGGAAUGUUAAGAGGUGCUUCUUUGGAUGAGUUGGAAGACUUGCAAGAGGUUGAAGACUUGGAUCAAUAUGGCAUAGAUGGCAAUGGUCCUGUACCUCUUGAUGGGCUCCAAGACCAAACAGUGGUUGUUCCUGAAACCAUUUCAGAGCUGAGUCAAGCUGAUCUCAAUGCUUUGCAAUUGCACGUGAACCCGCUAGAAUUUUCGGAUUGUCAUGGCACUGAUUUGUAUGUUCGUGCUCGUGAAUUUGUUCAAGAUGUAUUUUUGUAAAAGUAUCAUUAUAUUCUUUGUGC